AUCGCUUCUCGGCCUUUUGGCUAAGAUCAAGUGUAGGAUCUGUUUCCAUUAAGCUUUGUGUGAUCCCUCACAAAUGGAAUUGAUCUGUUUUUCUCAUGUUCCUAAACAUAUUUAUUCAUAUGUGGCAUAUUACCUAAU
rnacentral:snRNA from 1 species